rnacentral:lncRNA from 1 species
UGUCAAGUAGAACUGAAAGCACCACAAAGAAAUAAAAUACCAGUUGAAUUGAUUGUUGAUACAGGAUCAAGUGUGUCCAUCCUGCCUGAGACAGUUCAUGAAACACUUCGCAAAUUGUGAACUGAAGGAACCUCAAGUGAGGCUAGUCACUUACUCACGUGAACACUUGCCAACCUUAGGCUGUUUCACUGUUUCUGUGUCACAUGAUGGUGUUGCAACCACUGCCAAUUUCUAUGUGGUCAAAACGGGAUCACCACUUUUGGGCAUGGACUUGAUUAAAGCCUUAAACUGUCACAUUGUGGGAGAUAGAAUUGUUACAUCAUCAGCUCCUGCUGUUUCACCUGUGUUAGAAAUAUGUAAUGCAGCAGCCAGCUCACUUGGAUGUUUCAAAGGCUUUGUGCACAAAGUACAGAUUGAUCAGUCAGUUAAACCAGUGCAGCACAAACUACGCAGAUUACCGCUGAGUGUACGGGAGGAGGUUUCCAAGGAAAUUCAUCGCUUACUGAGGGAUGGAAUAAUUGAAAAGUUCAAUGCUUCGCCAUGGGUGUCACCAAUCGUCGUAACCAGAAAGAAGUCUGGAGAAAUUUGGGUUUGCGUGGAUUUGAGAGAGCCUAAUCAGGCUGUAAUUACUGACUGCUACCCACUACCUCAUAUGGAGGAUCUUUUCACCGAGCUCAGAGGCGCUACUGUGUUCUCGCAAACUGAUUUGCAAAGUGCAUACCACCAACUACCUUUGCAUGAGGAGAGUCAAAACUUGACUGCAUUCAACACACACGAUGGAUUAUUCAAAUUCACAAAGGUUCCUUUCGGGUUGGCUUCGGCGCCCUCCGCCUUUCAAAAAAUAUGAUGAAAACAGUUCUUGAGGGUCUACCAGGAGUACAGAACUACUUAGAUGAUCUCAUUGUCUACGGCCAAGAUAAAGCUAACCAUGACACCAAUCUACAGGCAGUGCUGACUAAACUCACGAAUAUUGGUCUGAAACUUAACAUGGAGAAGAGCAAAUUCGGCCAGAGCAGAAUUCGAUAUCUAGGCCAUGACAUUUCAAAAGAUGGACUACAUCCCAACCGCGACUCAGUUGAUGCCAUUGAAAAUGCCCCUG